GGGUCAGCAGGUUGGUCGUGCCACUGGUAUGCACUGGCUUCGCUGAUCCCUCCUUUCUGAAGAACUGUAAUGCCAUUAAUUUGGUGUUGCAGGGAAACAGGACUGUUACUUUGAAAAAAUUAGAGUGUUUAAAGCAGGCUUUGGCUUGAAUACAUUAGCAUGGAAUAAUGAAAUAGGACGUUCGAUCCUAUUUUGUUGGUUUCUAGGAUUGACGUAAUGAUUAAUAGGGAUAGUUGGGGGCAUUAGUAUUCAAUUGUCAGAGGUGAAAUUCUUGGAUUUAUUGAAGACUAACUACUGCGAAAGCAUUUGCCAAGGAUGUUUUCAUUAAUCAAGAACGAAAGUUAGGGGAUCGAAGACGAUCAGAUACCGUCGUAGUCUUAACCAUAAACUAUGCCGACUAGGGAUCGGAUGAUGUUAAUUUUUUAAUGACUCAUUCGGCGCCUUACGGGAAACCAAAGUGUUUGGGUUCCGGGGGGAGUAUGGUCGCAAGGCUGAAACUUAAAGGAAUUGACGGAAGGGCACCACCAGGGGUGGAGCCUGCGGCUUAAUUUGACUCAACACGGGGAAACUCACCAGGUCCAGACAUAGUAAGGAUUGACAGAUUGAGAGC
rnacentral:rRNA from 1 species